rnacentral:tRNA from 1 species
GUUAUUUUGGCAGAAUAGUGCUAUUGAUUUAGAAUCUUUAUAUGUAAUUUUUUAUUACAGAUAACA